CAAUGUAAGAUAUUUUUGCAAUGUCUGUGACUCUCCGACACUCAAAUACUUGCACGACAAAGUCUCUCAUCUACAAAAAAGUCAGAUCCCCCUUGAAAUUGUUGAAGCAUUGGGAACGUGCCUAAAAAAGAACAACGAACUGUUCCCUGUAUUAUCUAAGAUCUACGACAUUCUGAGCUACCAUGACUCGAAAUGGAAGACCUUAUACGAUAAAAUAGAUGAAAUUCGUAGCCUCCAUACAAGAACUCCUGAAAACGGAAAAGAAACCUUAUUCCAUUCCAUCAGGGAAAUGAAGCAAGGCAUUUUUAAUCUCUCGUCUAUUCUCCUUAAUAAUCAUGGAGAUUCUGUUAAGGUCCAGAUACACGACUCAUCAAGGGAAGAGCUCGCAAAGGAAAUGGGUGAUCUCCGAAAAAGUGUUAACCAAAUGGCACUUUCCAUCGACAAUUUAACUUCUAAUACCCGGUUUACAUGCAGCCACUGCCGCUGCUACUUGCGCUGCCCACUUCAUGCCCCAAAUAACUCCAGGCAGAUUUUAAUUAAAAGUAAAUAAGCAAGUAACUAUUUACAUGCAGCUCGCAUCUACCUGCCACUACCCGAAUUAUUUGUGCGCAUUAUUCUGCGGCAGUAUGGAGGAUGAAGAUGUUUUUGUGGCGACAGCGCUUUCCGUUUUAAAUGUACAAAAUUAUUUAAAUGUGUUAAGAUAUGCUAUGGAAAAGAAACGUCGACGUCGAAAAAGACGAUGGUGGAUGACAGCGAUUCAUCGUAAUAGAACGUUAACAAGUAUGAAUAACUUUUUUAAUGAUCUGACAUGUGAGGAAUCGGGAGAAUUUUUUAACUUUUGCCGAAUGUCCCGAAUAGACUUUGAAUUUCUGCUUAAUAAAAUUGAGCCCAUGAUCAAAAGAGAAACUAAAAUAAGGGUUCCAAUACUACCGAAAAUGCGCUUGGCAAUAACAUUGCGAUAUUUGGCCACUGGGGACAGUUACAAAAGUUUACAUUAUUUAUUUAAAGUUUCAACGGCAGCAAUUUCGCUGAUUGUACCUGAAGUUUGUGGAGCAAUUAAUUCAAUUUUAAAGAACCAAAUUAAGUUGCCAGAUACACCAGAGCAAUGGUUAGCAAUAGAAAAGGGAUUCAGAAAAAAAUUUCCCCGAUGUGUCGGAGCCAUUGAUGGCAAACACAUCGUUAUUAAAUGUCCACCACAUACUGGUUCCGAAUAAUAUAACUAUAAAGGCACGUAUAGCAUAGUUUUGAUGGCUUUAGUUGAUAACGAUUAUAAAUUUAUUUUUGCCGACGUAGGUGGUCAAGGGCGUAUUAGCGAUGGGGGUAUUUUUCAAACCUGUCUCUUGUGGAAAAAAAUUGACACAAAUCAACUUAAUUUACCACCAGAUGUCCCAUUGCCUGGUAGAGAAACUAGUACGCCUUAUGUGUUUUUAGGCGAUGGGGCUUUUGCAUUACAUAAGAAUGUGAUGAAACCUUUUCCAGGAAAUCAUGACAUGGACACUAAAGAAAGAAUAUUUAAUUAUAAACUUUCAAGCAGUCGCGUCAUUGUUGAAAAUACUUUCGGUGUCUUGACAUCUGUCUUUAGAGUAUUUAAAAAACCCAUUGAAAUAGAUGUAAGCAAGGUACCGAAAAUAACAUUAACUUGUAUUUUGUUGCAUAACUUCUUAAGAAGAAGCCAACAUUCUCGAAAUUCCUACACCCCUCUAGGGACUUUUGAUGCCAUUGAGGACGGAGUACUUAUUGAAGGCUCCUGGAGACAACAAAAUACAGGUGUAUCUGCCAUAAGAAAUAUACCACAUGUAGCCAGACGAGCUCCAGCUACCGCAAUGCAAGUUAGAUCGGAAUUUGCCGAUUAUUUCAAUAAUGUUGAAUUGUAAUUUAAAAACACCCAACAUUUUUAAAGAUUAAAUUUUUUAAAACAGUAAA